GAACGCAAAUUGCGCUCUCGGGAUAGGCCUGAGAGCACGCCUCUUUGAGCAUCGAUUCUACCACAAGUCGACGACGUCCUUGCAAAAGGAUGUGCAGUCGGACAUUGAGCUUCGUCAGCCUUUGGCUGGCUUGCUUAAAAUAGAGCGAGAUGCACUGCGACUUACUGAACAGAUCAGUGAGCGAUUGGUGACGUGGAUAACUUCACUUUUUGUGAACCUUCCAAUACGUGACUGACUGCUCGUAUGCUGUUCCGAUCGGUGGUCGCAAUUGCAGCCGAACGUCACGAAAGUGACAACUCUUUUGAAUUAGAUCUCAAAUGAAGCGAGAAAACCCGCUGAACUUAAG
rnacentral:misc_RNA from 1 species